rnacentral:rRNA from 1 species
UGCAAGUCGAACGCCCCGCAAGGGGAGUGGCAGACGGGUGAGUAACGCGUGGGAACAUACCCUUUCCUGCGGAAUAGCUCCGGGAAACUGGAAUUAAUACCGCAUACGCCCUACGGGGGAAAGAUUUAUCGGGGAAGGAUUGGCCCGCGUUGGAUUAGCUAGUUGGUGGGGUAAAGGCCUACCAAGGCGACGAUCCAUAGCUGGUCUGAGAGGAUGAUCAGCCACACUGGAACUGAGACACGGUCCAG